UGCAGGGUGGUUUAGUGGUUAGCAAUGUUCGUCUCAAAUCUCCAGGGUCGGGGGUUCGAUUCCCACCGUGGCCC